rnacentral:rRNA from 1 species
GACGAACCGAGCGAACGUUAUUCGGAAUCACUGGGCUUAAAGGGCGCGUAGGCGGGCCGUAGAGUCCGCGGUGAAAUCCUCCAGCUUAACUGGAGAACUGCCGCGGAUACCCACGGCCUCGAGGGGGGCAGGGGCAUCUGGAACUGGUGGUGGAGCGGUGAAAUGCGUUGAUAUCAUCAGGAACUCCGGUGGCGAAGGCGAGAUGCUGGACCUCUACUGACGCUGAGGCGCGAAAGCCAGGGGAGCGAACGGG